UCCCCUAGUUCCAGGAACACUGAAGUUCA
rnacentral:piRNA from 1 species